rnacentral:tRNA from 1 species
UUGSCUUUUAAAAUCGUGAGGGUUCAAGUCCCUCUAUCCCCAACUCUACU